ensembl:rRNA 5S_rRNA 5S ribosomal RNA
GUCUAUGGCCAUUCCACCCUGAAUGCACCUGAUCCUGUCUGAUCUCAGAAGCUAAGCAGGGUUGGGCCUGGUUAGUACUUGGAUGGGAGAAAUAUUGAUUUUUGAAUGCUGAUCUUGUAUCCU